rnacentral:rRNA from 1 species
UAGGGAAGUCUUCCACAAUGGACGCAAGUCUGAUGGAGCAACGCCGCGUGAGUGAAGAAGGUCUUCGGAUCGUAAAACUCUGUUGUUAGAGAAGAACACGAGUGAGAGUAACUGUUCAUUCGAUGACGGUAUCUAACCAGCAAGUCACGGCUAACUACGUGCCGG